AAAAACAAAAAAGCAACUAAAACGGGUUUACGAUUGUCCAUUUUCAUGGGGCCUUUGUUCAACCCUCUCAGCUAAAGCUUCUGUUGCCUUACGAGUGAGACGAACCUCAGAGAAAGUCUGAAGGAGAGAAUCGAAGGAACAACAAGAGAAUCGAAGAUGGGGAUAGCGAGUAAGGCAGGAGAUUGGGCAUUCAAAGCAUUCACGGCAGGCCUGGGUGUCGCCACGAUUUACCUCACAGCCACUUUCUCUGUCAACGUCUACCGAGGCCUUGCUUGGCACAACGCUCAAUCCAAAAUGGAGAAGCAAGGCUCCAGUGAGCCAGCCCCAUGACUUCAAAUUUUGCUUCCCUCCUGAAUCCUACACUGCAUUUUUCUGUCCUUGAAUGCACCAUAGAAACGUUCAUAUUCUUACUUUUAUUGUCUCAUCUAUAAAGUUAAAAUGCCUGGCCAAUAAGCCUCAAUUUGUGGGAUUAACUUUCCAGAUUUUAUGUAGAUCUUUGUUAUUUGCAGAUAGCUGUUUGGAUCAAUUAUUUCUUUAACAGAACAUGAUUUGGUUUGCCUUGGUUA